ensembl:lncRNA
GACUGGGUUAAGCUGCUGUUUUCAUUGACAUUUGCUUAAUCUUGGUCUCAUAGCUUGGUGUUUUGUUGUUUGCCUCCGUUGACCUUUUUGUUUGUACAGUUAAAAUAGUUUGAAAUCGACACUGCUGUGCGCGUUCAUUGUCUUCUUAUUCUUUAAAAGUCUCUCAUUUCUGGAGCAGGGAUGGGUAGGAAUUAAGAAUCACAAGCUCUACCAGGUGAAACACUGAAUAAUGCUUACAUUUCUGAGAUGUAAGGUGACUUAGGAGAGCCAACUUGCAAUUUAAAUAUCAUGGUUUAUAAUGAGAAGCUGCCAUCUUCUAUUUGAGUAGCUCUUUGACCCUAAUAAACAGGCAGUUGUUGCUGAGGUACUGUUCCAUGAUAAAUGCUUUUUGCAGUUUCUUUGGCCCAUUCAGUGAAGGAAAUCUUUCAUUCCAGAAAUGAGUUCCUUCCUUAAAUGAUGGGUCAUUGAGCAUGAUGAGAAAGAGCAAUUGACACAACUUAUUGCUUCAUUCAAGUCUUCCAGUUUGAAUUUGGGUUCUGACAGGGUGGGGAGAACACUAUUCAGUUAUUAAAAUGACCUUUCAGGUUUGCAGUAUGCCUCUUCAGAACCUUUUCUAUUUGAGUUUUACUUGAACCUGGAAGCACAAGGAUGCUACGUGUUUAAGGUCUCAAAGAAAGAAUUGGCCUCUUGCAACUUCUGUGUGCCACAGCUACCAUAAGGGAUCGCUGUUGUGCAGUCCUGCUGUGAACAUUAGAGCAUGACUGUUGGCUUUAAGUGCAAAGCUUGUGUUCUGUAGGGUAUAAACCUGACCUGUGCAUAUGUGAAUAUUCAGAGGGGUCUGAGCAUCCACCAUUGUCCUGCUAUCUUAUUUCACAUAUGCACUUUUUUCAUUCAUGAAUGUAUGGCAUAAUUUUGUAGGAGAAAUGUCUCAUGUUUAUAACUAAUUAUCAAACUUCAGACUGGCUUUUUUUAAAGUGAUUUCUAGCUUAUUGUUCCUAGAUUAACAUUGCCUGCUACAGGGAUUUAUGUAUUCCAUGGAAUAACAAUAGGAAGUUCCAGGAAACCACUCAAAUUCCUUCCCAGGGACAUUCUCAUCAGCCAGCAAGUUACUGUAAAUCUGUAAUAUGCUCAUAACAAGACCUUGUUCCAGAAGUGUAGGAGGAGUUCAUAUAUCUUGCUAAUAUGUUCUGAUACAGUCAGUACCUGAGGUCAGAGGAUCAGCUUGUGUAUGACUGGUUACUGCGUUGUUAAGAUUUAAGACUGCUGUGCUGUACUUAAAUCAACUACUUCAGAGUAUUGUGUUCAGCAUCUUCUUGUUUUAUGGCCUUUUAAGAAACAGAAGAGAUCCCGACCAUCAAGAUGUAUACGUGGAAUUUUGGCAAGUCAACAGAGUUGUGUUCACCGUACGUGUGUGAGGCGUCGGUGUUGCGCUGGCACCUGGUUCUUAGCAGAAACACACUGACUGCAGGUUUGAACUAGGCUGGAUAAAAUUCACAAAAUCUCCAAUGUUUUUAUCCCUCCCCACUGCCAGCCCUAAUCAUGUAUAAUAUGGAGGGCCUCGGAAUGGUUUUAAGUUGCAAUGCUAAUUUCUCUGUUCAUUUCUCGUUGAAUAUAUGAAUGUUGUUUUGCCACGUCAGGUACUUCAUUACCGUGAGAUUGAUCACAAAGAACUGUUUUUCUUCAUUUUGUGUUUUAAUGCGUGAUGCUGCUUUAUUUUCUGAGAGCUGUUUGGAAGCCAUGGAUGUAUGCUGGAGAUGAGAAAUAUUUCACAGCUUUUCAAUUUAAAGGAAAAUAAAAUUUGGUCCCCUUAAUUCUUUUUCCUGUACUUUAAUAGAAAAACAAAGUGAAGAAAUUCAAGAAGUAGAAUCGGUUUAUCGGUAAGGUUCUUGUCAAGCAGAUGCACAGCACGCUAAUGGAAUGUUUUGCUUUUCCACUGUCAGAUGCAAAGAACAUAAAACUUGUUAAAAAUCACCUACUUAAAUGGCAAGCUUUGAAAUGCUUGCUGCUGUUCUUCUGUGAUUUAUGAAGAGGUCCAGGUGUAACGUAUACAAGGGAUAAGCACUGCUGGCAUUACUUAGCCAGAAAUCGCUUUCUCCAUCUUCCAUGUUGCUGCUGGUUUUUUGCAGUGUGUGCUUUGACGUGCAUAGUGCUGUGAGAGCUGCAGGGACUGAGCAGUGUUCCACAAGAUGGGGAAUAAAAGCCGAUUCUGUAACCCUCCUUACUCUACAGAGCAUAACAAAUGGAGCAGUGAAUCAGGGCUUUUUCCAAGGUCAAGAUAAGGGAUGCUGCACAAAUUCCCCUUUUUGCUCCUGAUUCAUUUGGGCAUAUCUGAAACAUUUUCCACCAGAGCUCUCUUCAGACCUGUCCUAUGCUGCGUUCCUCGCACAAAACCAAGAAGGGUUUUCACUGCAUGUGUCUUACCAAAGCAUUAAAAACAUGCUUCACUGUCUGCUCCUUUACUCUGAAAUUUGUCGAGCUCCUGAUGGCAAAUGCAUUUAAUGAAGAUGUACAGAACUUGGUGUGAAACUGAAAAAGGCUUACUGGGUUUGUGUUAUUCUUAGUAAAAAGUGAUUCUUGGUUUUGAAAUGAAAGAAUAUGUGAUACUAACAGUAUGAAAUCACAGUGCUUUCCCCAAAAGGAGUAGGUUUAGCCACACUGGUGUAUUCUAGCAUUUAGCCUGACACUGAUUUCUUUGUGUUUAAAGUAAGAAAACAAGAAGCUAAAAUAUUUACAUUUAAAACAAACCAUCUCAGUUCAGAUACUCUCUGUGCAUUUCACCAUUGGCUUAUUUGGAAGAAAAAACUUUAAAGCAGUGUUUGCCAAUCCAUCAUGAACGCUGAGAUAAGUGCUUGCGAAGUCUGAAACCUGGGUCUGUGUCUUGAGCCUAUGAUACAUCUAAACAGUCUGACAUGAUACAUGGAUUCUUGAUUACAGUGUCCAGUGUGUUCUGGCCAGAUUUCACUGUGGCAUUUACUCUUAACUUUCUGCUGUUAUGUAUGAAGUCACGUCGUAUUAGGCUAGAUUGACUAAUCUCUAGAAUUUAUGCUAGCGCUACUUUCUGUUUAAUUUCAUGUGAAAAGAUUUGGGCAGAAUGUCUGAUCUGUAUUCAACAAAUGGAGAUUUCCUUUGAAAAUCUAAAAUCAGGUUGUAAUUUGUGUGUAGCACGGGCAUUUCCCACCUGGAAGUCCUCUCAUUUAAAUGUUCCAAGUGAAGUUUGGGGCCUAGUUCUAUAGUGGUGUAAAUCAGAAGUAUUCCUCUGCUGCAGUCAGUCUAAUUGCGUUGGUGUAAAUGAAAUCAGGGCCUUAAGCAAUGAGUUGGGUUUCUCAUAGUCUGUUCUACUUGUAGUUGAUUAAUUUUGAGUCUGUCAACUGAAAUUUGGCAUUGGAAUAAGCUG